rnacentral:rRNA from 1 species
UGGGGAAUCUUAGACAAUGGGCGAAAGCCUGAUCUAGCCAUGCCGCGUGUGUGAUGAAGGCCCUAGGGUCGUAAAGCACUUUCGCCAGGGAUGAUAAUGACAGUACCUGGUAAAGAAACCCCGGCUAACUCCGUGCCAGCAGCCGCGGUAAUACGGAGGGGGUUAGCGUUGUUCGGAAUUACUGGGCGUAAAGCGCACGUAGGCGGAUCAGAAAGUUGGGGGUGAAAUCCCGGGGCUCAACCCCGGAACUGCCUUCAAAACUCCUGGUCUAGAGUUCGAGAGAGGUGAGUGGAAUUCCAAGUGUAGAGGUGAAAUUCGUAGAUAUUUGGAGGAACACCAGUGGCGAAGGCGGCUCACUGGCUCGAUACUGACGCUGAGGUGCGAAAGUGUGGGGAGCAAACAGGAUUAGAUACCCCCGUAGUCC